rnacentral:rRNA from 1 species
GGUUGCGAUCAUACCAACACUAAUGCACCGGAUCCCAUCAGAACUCCGCAGUUAAGAGUGCUUGGGCGAGAGUAGUACUAGGAUGGGUGACCCCCUAGGAAGUACUCGUGUUGCAACCA